UACGUAGGGUGCAAGCGUUGUCCGGAAUUAUUGGGCGUAAAGAGCUCGUAGGCGGUUUGUCGCGUCUGCUGUGAAAACUCGGGGCUUAACCCCGGGCCUGCAGUGGGUACGGGCAGACUAGAGUGCGGUAGGGGAGACUGGAAUUCCUGGUGUAGCGGUGAAAUGCGCAGAUAUCAGGAGGAACACCAAUGGCGAAGGCAGGUCUCUGGGCUGACACUGACGCUCAUGCACGAAAGCGUGGGGAGCAAACAGG
rnacentral:rRNA from 1 species